rnacentral:rRNA from 1 species
UACGUAGGGGGGCAAGCGUUGUCCGGAAUCAUUGGGCGUAAAGAGCGUGUAGGCGGCCCGAUAAGUCCGCUGUGAAAGUCCAGGGCUCAACCCUGGGAUGCCGGUGGAUACUGUCGGGCUCGAGUCCGGAAGAGGAGUGUGGAAUUCCUGGUGUAGCGGUGAAAUGCGCAGAUAUCAGGAGGAACACCAAUGGCGAAGGCAGCACUCUGGGGACGUGACUGACGCUGAGACGCGAAAGCGUGGGGAGCAAACAGG